ensembl:lincRNA
AAUAAGACUUUCUUUCCCCUCCAGGAAGCAGCCGCUAAAUUUCUGCUCAGUACUUUAGUUCAAUUAACUAAUGUUUUCCCCUGGACUACUUGGAAUGUGUCCCAUUCAUGCAUAGAUUAGAGGUCGGCCAAAGAUUUGAGGGGUGUUGCAUGCAGAUUUGAAGGCUCUCUUUUAUGCAGCGUCCUCACUUCAGAGACAUCACCUUUCAAUCUUCAGCUGCUUUUCAACCCCAUGCUCCAACCGCUGACUCCUCAGUGUUGCAGUGUUUCCAGACCUUUCAUUUUUCUUCCAUCUUAUCUCAAGGCUGAAAGAAGUUUAUCAUAUUAUUAGACAACAGAGCAGAACAAAACAAUACAUCAAGCCUCAGCACUUGGUAUUGCUUUGCAGAGAAAACCAGGUGAAUUCCUUUACUGUGUGAUUAGUGAAAC